rnacentral:rRNA from 1 species
UACGUAGGGUGCAAGCGUUAAUCGGAAUUACUGGGCGUAAAGCGUGCGCAGGCGGUUUUGUAAGUCUGUCGUGAAAGCCCCGGGCUCAACCUGGGAAUUGCGAUGGAGACUGCAAGGCUUGAAUCUGGCAGAGGGGGGUAGAAUUCCACGUGUAGCAGUGAAAUGCGUAGAGGUGUGGAGGAACACCGAUGGCGAAGGCAGCCCCCUGGGUCAAGAUUGACGCUCAUGCACGAAAGCGUGGGGAGCAAACAGG